CUGUUCUGUUGAGCGCUUCUGCCCGGCACACAGCACUGCCAUACCUGUGCCUGCCUGUUAAGAAGAAAAGCAUCCCAAAAGUAAACGGGCAGAAAGGGGCUGCCUGGUCUCUGAUGAAGGAUCUCUACUUUGCCUGGGAUCUGAGCCUAAAGAGAAGAAAUACACAGGAGCAGAAGGAAGAUGAACAGGGCGCAAAGAGAGCAGUGCCAGUGGAAUUUUUGUGGACAAAUACUUUGUGUCUUGCUCCUGCAACGCUGUUUCUCCUUGUCCUGUCCUGACAAGCAGCUGCUUUUCCAGUCCCCUGGGUUAAAAACCUGUUUUGGAGAACUCAGGACUGUAGCUAGGGUCUCAGUUCCAAGCAUGUGGAACAACAAUUUAAUAGCCACUAGUCUUGCUACUGGCUGUUUUCAAGGCGAAGAGAAAUUCUCUUUCUUAGUUUGGAAUAACAUACUGUUGCAACCACUAUUUUUUUUUUGCCAGUUCCUCUGAAAUCCCCAUGAUACUGACAAUUUACUUCCACUCUUUUUUACCAGUUCCUCUGAAACCUGAGGGAGAUCAGCCCUCCAUAAAAUCAAGACAGCCAAGUGCAUAAGGCUGGAUCUGUGUGCAAGUCCUUGCAGGUUCCAUACUACCAACUCCAUUACUCUUUCUAUUGACAUAAAUUCUGACCAGCUGUCAGCUUGAAUUUAGGGUAAAAUAGUGUGGAAGCUAUGUGACAAGGAGAAAUUGUGUCAGCAUGAUACCAGGCAGUCUUGUUUAUAACUUUUUGCAUCAGUGUCCCUUCCACCCAAACCAUUUAGGGGUAUUCGAGCUUUCUGAAUAAACUUGACACAUUGGUUAAAAAGAAGCUUGAAGCUUUAGAUGAAAUUAACUUCUAGUGUCUCAUUCAGAACGCUGUGUACAUUCUGUUGAAGAAAUCCUGCUAAAAACAAGCUAAAACAUUCUGGAUGAUGCUGUGCCUGGAGCUCUACUCAGUGUCCCACACAGAGAGAAGAGGAUUGGCUUCCACUGAAACCAAUGGCAAAUUUCUCCUCUACUAUUUAUGGUGACUGGAAGACUCUCUGAAGAGCCUUUAAGAAGCCCCAUGUUGGCAGCUGAACUUCAAUCCAUCCAAAUCUUCACAGCUUCCUGCUAGAAGAGGAUGAAAUUGACCACAUGCCCUCAAAAUUCAUCUCAAUCUGAAAA